CCCAGAGUCGUCAUUCCUCUCUGAAUGCUCUUAUAGUGAAGAUGAGCAUCAUUUUGUGCCAACUUCAUACAUACAUCCACAGACAUCACAGUACUUAGGAUAUGAGUUUUGCAAAAACAGGGGAGACGUACCUGUGGUGGAUCUGCAGAAGAGAGGACUAGAUUUUUGGAACCCAAGUCCACUGAAGAUGCCAGCCAUUCAUGAUGGAGGUGGAGAGAUAGGAGCUUUGAGAUCCAAGAAGAAUAACCACAUUUCCAGCAUAUGUUCACUUUCAGCGGGACCCAGAUGCAAGUUCGGUAAGAAAUGUAUAAUACAUGUACAGUUUUAGUGUUCAGCUCUUGUCAGAUGCUGUUAGAAUUGAGGAGUUGUAGAAGGGGCAACUCUAAGGGCUUGUCUACAUAGACAGUUAGUUUAUGGCAACUGAGCUGUGAAUUUACCCCACCCUAGUCUGCUACAUACUAACUCCCUUUGUGGUCUCUGCUGACACGCAUUAACAGUUUGUUAACGAGCUU
rnacentral:lncRNA from 1 species